rnacentral:rRNA from 1 species
GAUGAACGCUGGCGGCGUGCCUAAUACAUGCAAGUCGAGCGAACGGACGAGAAGCUUGCUUUUCUGAUGUUAGCGGCGGACGGGUGAGUAACACGUGGAUAACCUACCUAUAAGACUGGGAUAACUUCGGGAAACCGGAGCUAAUACCGGAUAAUAUUUUGAACCGCAUGGUUCAAAAGUGAAAGACGGUCUUGCUGUCACUUAUAGAUGGAUCCGCGCUGCAUUAGCUAGUUGGUAAGGUAACGGCUUACCAAGGCAACGAUGCAUAGCCGACCUGAGAGGGUGAUAGGCCACACUGGAACGGAGACAGGGUCCAGACGACUAAGGGAGGCAGCAGUAGGGAAUCUUCCGCAAUGGGCGAAAGCCUGACGGAGCAACGCCGAGUGAGUGAUGAAGGUCUUCGGAUCGUAAAACUCUGUUAUUAGGGAAGAACAGAUGUGUAAGUAACUGUGCACAGCUUGACGGUACCGAAUCAGAAAGCCACGGCUAACUACGUG